rnacentral:lncRNA from 1 species
UAUAAGAAAUGUAAGAAAAGGAGGAAAAAAACUGAUUAAAAAUCUUCUUAACAGUUUAUGAGAAUUCCAGAUUUUACUCACAAGCAACAUCAUGUAAUAUUUCUUGUAUUUUGGAAUACUUUACGCAUGUUAUAUUUUUAUUUAAAUGUUAAUAAAACUUGAGACUCCUUACUGAUGACUGAUUAUUCAUGAGGAGAAACUUUAGUUUACAGAAUAUUCAAACAUUUUGUGUCUUUCCUCCCUCCCAUAGUAUUUACUUUAUUACCAAUUUGGAUCUCCUUUCAGAUGGUUUGUCAGAUCAAAAAUAAAAGAGAAAUUGAAAUUCUAUUUCAAAACAUUUUCCUUGUGUAAGAAAUAAAAUAUUUUAGGAUAUCAACCCAACUGUUAAAACAAAGAAUUUUAUAUUCAUUAUAAUUUUAACUUAAGGAUACAAUAAGAAGUUCUUUCUUUAAUAUUAUCUUAGCAAAGACCACCACAAUGGCCUAAAUUGUAGUAAUGGCUUAAUUGGUGGUAUCCUUAAAUCUUCUUGCUUAAAAAAUGUGCUUGAUCAAAGGUUGUCAUUUCUUAUCUGUAUUUUAAGUGAGUUUUUUUUGAAAACUGAAAAUACCAACUGAAUACAACCACCUAAAGCUACAGAUAUCAGCAAAACCUCUUUGUAAAGAUGAAUAUUCAGGUUUUAUUUAAAAAGGGGUAUGAAUCAGAAGUUUCCCAUCUCAACUGAUUUGUGCAAAUAUUUUUAUCUAUUGACUAUUUGUUCAUAAAAUGCUUUCAUGAGUAUUAGUUUGUCAUUCUUAUCAGGUUCCCUUUCCCAAAUUAAGCAGGAAAACACACAACUUAAACUUUUAGAGUUUCAAGUGAGAAUGAUAAAGAGAUAUUUUGGGAUAGGCAAGACUAUGACUUAAUUUCCUAUGU